UUUUAUAUUUCAGGUGGAGUGGGUUAAGUCCAUUAAGUUUUAGGCUUAGGCCCAUUAAGGGGACAUCCUAUAUAAACAUUGUCUUAGAGGAAAUUUCCUACACACUUUCAUUUACAAGAUAUUUUGAGAGGGUUAGAGAGAGAAAGUGGGAGAAAGAGGAAGAAAGGGUUAGAGAGAACAGGAGCUUGAAGAUUCAAGAAGAGGAGAGAACCUAGGAGCUAAAGUGAAGCUUGGGCUAGAGAAUUGAUCUAACUAAGAUGUGGGUGUAUUGAGGAUACGAAUCAUCUGUUUGUGUCUUGUGUCUUUUAUAGCAAUCUUUGGUAUUUGAUUUAUGAUUGGCUUGGGUUUUCUUCGGCAACAUCUCCGAGUCUUUUAUUGCAUCUUCGUCAUUUUUGUGGUCUGGGAGGUGUUUCAAAUAAACUAAAUUCAGCGUUCAAUAUGAUUUGGUUAGCAGCUUUUUACGUUAUAUGAAAAGAGAGUAAUGGACGUAUCUUCCAACAAAAGAAAAAUUCCAUUGUUUUAAUUAGUGAGCAAGUUAAAUGUCUAGUUUUUUUUUUUUUUUUUGGUUUAAAUCAAAGUUUGUUUCUUUCAAUUUUCACUACAAUGUUUGGAGACAAAGCCCUUUGAUGUGCCUCAGUGCUGUAACUUAAUGUUUCCUUUUGUUCUUUGUUAGGCUCUUGUUUUUCUCUCCCUUUCUUUUGAAAUUGUAUCCUGAAUCUUUAAUGUCUCCCUAAACACUUCUUGUGUUGGUGGACACUAAUUAUGGUAAUAGAUUACAUUUUAGAUUCUAAAAAAAAAAAAAAACAGAUAAUUAUCUAAUAAUUUAGUGGGGACAACAUGUAAUUUCUUAAUAGAAAAAACAACUUUGACGAAUUAGUAAAAUAAAUAGUGGUGGCGGCUGCUUCUGAUACUAUAAUUUAAUGCACGUGCAUCCAUCCUGGGCUUGAUGCUUUUAACGAUACUUCCUCCAUAGGAAGGAAAAAUGCUAAUAUAUACUUUUUUUUUUU
rnacentral:lncRNA from 1 species